AGAGUUUGAUCCUGGCUCAGGAUGAACGCUAGCGACAGGCUUAACACAUGCAAGUCGAGGGGCAGCACAGGUAGCAAUACCGGGUGGCGACCGGCGCACGGGUGAGUAACGCGUAUGCAACUUACCUAUCAGAGGGGGAUAACCCGGCGAAAGUCGGACUAAUACCGCAUGAAGCAGGGAUCCCGCAUGGGAAUAUUUGCUAAAGAUUCAUCGCUGAUAGAUAGGCAUGCGUUCCAUUAGGCAGUUGGCGGGGUAACGGCCCACCAAACCGACGAUGGAUAGGGGUUCUGAGAGGAAGGUCCCCCACAUUGGUACUGAGACACGGACCAAACUCCUACGGGAGGCAGCAGUGAGGAAUAUUGGUCAAUGGCCGAGAGGCUGAACCAGCCAAGUCGCGUGAAGGAAGAAGGAUCUAUGGUUUGUAAACUUCUUUUAUAGGGGAAUAAAGUGGAGGACGUGUCCUUUUUUGUAUGUACCCUAUGAAUAAGCAUCGGCUAACUCCGUGCCAGCAGCCGCGGUAAUACGGAGGAUGCGAGCGUUAUCCGGAUUUAUUGGGUUUAAAGGGUGCGUAGGUGGUGAUUUAAGUCAGCGGUGAAAGUUUGUGGCUCAACCAUAAAAUUGCCGUUGAAACUGGGUUACUUGAGUGUGUUUGAGGUAGGCGGAAUGCGUGGUGUAGCGGUGAAAUGCAUAGAUAUCACGCAGAACUCCGAUUGCGAAGGCAGCUUACUAAACCAUAACUGACACUGAAGCACGAAAGCGUGGGGAUCAAACAGGAUUAGAUACCCUGGUAGUCCACGCAGUAAACGAUGAUCACUAGCUGUUUGCGAUACAGUGUAAGCGGCACAGCGAAAGCGUUAAGUGAUCCACCUGGGGAGUACGCCGGCAACGGUGAAACUCAAAGGAAUUGACGGGGGCCC
rnacentral:rRNA from 1 species